AUUGAACGCUGGCGGAAUGCUUUACACAUGCAAGUCGAACGGCAACACGGACUUCGGUCUGGUGGCGAGUGGCGAACGGGUGAGUAAUGUAUCGGAACGUGCCCAGUCGUGGGGGAUAACGUAGUGAAAAUUACGCUAAUACCGCAUACGAUCUAUGGAUGAAAGCGGGGGAUCGCAAGACCUCGCGCGAUUGGAGCGGCCGAUAUCAGAUUAGGUAGUUGGUGGGGUAAAGGCCCACCAAGCCAACGAUCUGUAGCUGGUCUGAGAGGACGACCAGCCACACUGGAACUGAGACACGGUCCAGACUCCUACGGGAGGCAGCAGUGGGGAAUUUUGGACAAUGGGCGAAAGCCUGAUCCAGCCAUUCCGCGUGCAGGAUGAAGGCCCUCGGGUUGUAAACUGCUUUUGUACAGAACGAAAAGGUUUCUACUAAUACUAGGAGCUCAUGACGGUACUGUAAGAAUAAGCACCGGCUAACCACGUGCCAGCAGCCGCAGUAA
rnacentral:rRNA from 1 species